AUUGAACGCUGGCGGCAGGCCUAACACAUGCAAGUCGAGCGGAUGACGGGAGCUUGCUCCUUGAUUCAGCGGCGGACGGGUGAGUAAUGCCUAGGAAUCUGCCUGGUAGUGGGGGACAACGUUUCGAAAGGAACGCUAAUACCGCAUACGUCCUACGGGAGAAAGCAGGGGACCUUCGGGCCCUGCGUUAUCAGAUGAGCCUAGGUCGGAUUAGCUAGUUGGUGGGGUAAUGGCUCACCAAGGCGACGAUCCGUAACUGGUCUGAGAGGAUGAUCAGUCACACUGGAACUGAGACACGGUCCAGACUCCUACGGGAGGCAGCAGUGGGGAAUAUUGGACAAUGGGCGAAAGCCUGAUCCAGCCAUGCCGCGUGUGUGAAGAAGGUCUUCGGAUUGUAAAGCACUUUAAGUUGGGAGGAAGGGCAGUAAGCUAAUACCUUGCUGUUUUGACGUUACCGACAGAAUAAGCACCGGCUAACUCUGUGCCAGCAGCCGCCGUAA
rnacentral:rRNA from 1 species